CAUUUUGUUUAAUGGCAAGGGUCAUUUAUAGAGUGGUAAAACCGCUCCCUAUCUACAACACUGUCUGGGUUUCUAAAAGGUAGCAAACGUAAUUAUUUCUUCCUCUUAUGCCACACUGGAUGAAAUUUUCACAUGCUUGGCAUUAUUUUAAAUAAUUUACUUGCUGCCGGUGGACCAGAAUAUGCUACAACAUGUAGGCGAGGGCAGGAUGGCCAUCAGUGUGUCUACCAUCGAUUGUUACCAUCGAUUAAGUGAUAUGGUUAGUGUUCAUCGAUGGUUACAAAAUAUGCAAUGGAUGACCAUAUAUGGUUUCACCAAUGGUCAUCACUGCAUACUUGCCUACCUUCCUGGAAUGGUUGGGAGGCUCCCGAACAUCCGGUGGCCCUCCCGGCAAGGUAGGCAAGUCUCCCGCUUUCCCUGGUUGCCCCCUGCAUCCCCCCUCGGCCGACAACAGCAGAGAACAAGUGGGUGGUCCGAGGGUAUACGAUGACGCGACUCGCGCUGAAUUGCAUCAUUGUAGCUCCGCUACCCGCUCUAUAGUGCCUGUUUACUGGUACUGUAUAGCGGGGGCGGGACCACGAUGAUGCGUUCGUGAUGCCAUGCCCCUGAACUGCCCACCUUCCAUGUCGGCCACCCCCAAGACAGCCCACCCCACUGCCAGCCACGCCCCCAUUAGCCUACCCCGUUGCCUCCUCUCUGAGGAGGGUGCAGUAAGGCAGGAAAAACUGGGAAGAUCCCCCGGCUGUUGACGUCUCUGUCUCACGCCUGUCUAAAGAGGUGGUGUUACCAUUCCCUGGCUCCUCGGCUUUGAAGGACACUGGGGAUAGAAAACUAGAAGACUACACUGAAGUCUAUUCCACAGCAGCUGGUAUAUCACAAAGACCUGUGAUAGCGGGUUGCUGGUUGACACAUGUCAUUCACACCUGGGCGGGCCAGUUCAAGAGGGCCUCGCGGGGGAUAUGGCUCUGCCACAGGUGUCAAGGAAAUAGAAGUCCUCCUGUGCAAGAACGGUGCAAACCCUCCUUUGGAAGAACAAUACACCCUCCUGUGGAACAACAAUACAAAGCCCUCCUGUGGAACAACAAUACAAAGCCCUCCUGUGGAACAACAAUACAAAGCCCUCCUGUGGAACAACAAUACAAAGCCCUCCUGUGGAACAACAAUACAAAGCCCUCCUGUGGAACAACAAUACAAAGCCCUCCUGUGGAACAACAAUACAAAGCCCUCCUGUGGAACAACAAUACAAAGCCCUCCUGUGGAAGAACAAUACAAAGCUCUCCUGUGGAACAAACAAUACAAGCACCUCCUGUGAAAAAAAAAUACAAAGCCCUCCUAGGGAAGAACAAGUGCCUGGAUAAAAUAAUACAUUAAUUACUGUACUCAAUGCAAUGCAUGAAUAAAUUAAAAUUGUAAAGUCCUUUCUAAAGAAA